CACAAAUUUUAAGACGUCAUAUCAAAGGUCAAACUUAUUUCCCCAAUUUUCAUACCCUGCUCCCAAUUUUGCCCCCAUUCAUUGCCAUCCCAAUUAUUUCUUCAAACAAACCUGUGUAAUUGAAGACCGAAUGUAACUGUGGAAACAAUUAAUCAUCCUCUAGCAUUUAAGAUGGAGAAUCCCAAUGAUCAAAACCGCCCGAGUGAAGAGGAUGCUUGGUGUUCUCUGAUGUUGAUAAAUCACGGAUCAAAUCGCCUCCCCCUUUCAGGGUAACCGGGUGAAGAAGACGACCGGUAAACCAAACGACGUGCACCCGUUUCUGCCGAGUUCGAGUUACAGUCCAAACUUCAGGGUUAAAAUCCGGUUCUAUCACCCUCCUCCGUUCAUCCGGAUCUUGUGGUGAACAACAAGGGUGUGAAUAAAUUGAUGUGAAGAACUGGGGUUCGAUCCGAGUUUCAAAGUGUAAGCAAACUGAAGAUACAACAACCAAGCUUGAUCUGGACGGGCUUGUUGUUAUUGGUGAAGAUGAUUCAACACAAAUACAUUCCUUGUUACUGGAUAUUAUAGUUAAUUUAUUUAUCUUAAUGAACUUCAAUACUUGUCGAUUAUUUUUCUUCUCUGUGUUUAGAUUUUUGAAUAUAUACUCUACAAGAGUAAGAAUUAGAAGACUCGAUCCAUUGAUGCUGAAAGACCAUUAAUGGGGACUGAAAUGUAAAGAAGCAGUUACAAAUUUUGGCUUUGAUACUGCAUAUAAGAUUAUUCAACCAACGGUGUCAAAUCGAUUCCAUAUACAUUUGGUUUUAUGCUCUCUUGAUAUCAUGCCUGAUUACAGUUGCAGCAGGCGGCUUGCUUGGGUAUGGGAACUGGAAGGGGAUGGCUCUUUUUUUUUGUUCGGAGUGUGAAACAGCGGCUGCAGGCUACUCGAUCUACUCCUGCUCCUUUUGUAUGCAAAAGAAAUGGCUAGGUUCUUAAAAAAGUGGAAAUUGUGGCUUGCGUGAAUCUGUGACUUGAAGACAUAUAAUUAAAUUUUUGUACAAAUGUGCAUGUGGCAUAAGCUCGAAAUUUUAAUUCUAUUUAUGAUUGGGUUGAU